rnacentral:rRNA from 1 species
CCUUUGCUGAAGGCAAUGGUUAACGGAGCGAAAGCGACGUUCAACCGCAAAACAAGCAGAGGGGGCUUAGUGGUGGGGUGACUGCGUACCUUUUGUAUAAUGGGUCAGCGACUUAUAUUCUGUAGCAAGGUUAACCGUAUAGGGGAGCCGGAGGGAAACCGAGUCUUAAUUGGGCGUUAAGUUGCAGGGUAUAGACCCGAAACCCGGUGAUCUAGCCAUGGGCAGGUUGAAGGUUGGGUAACACUAACUGGAGGACCGAACCGACUAAUGUUGAAAAAUUAGCGGAUGACCUGUGGCUGGGGGUGAAAGGCCAAUCAAACCGGGAGAUAGCUGGUUCUCCCCGAAAGCUAUUUAGGUAGCGCCUCGUGAAUUCAUCUCCGGGGGUAGAGCACUGUUUCGGCUAGGGGGCCAUCCCGGCUUACCAACCCGAUGCAAACUGCGAAUACCGGAGAAUGUUAUCACGGGAGACACACGGCGGGUGCUAACGUCCGUCGUGAAGAGGGAAACAACCCAGACCGCCAGCUAAGGUCCCAAAGUCAUGGUUAAGUGGGAAACGAUGUGGGAAGGCCCAGACAGCCAGGAUGUUGGCUUAGAAGCAGCCAUCAUUUAAAGAAAGCGUAAUAGCUCACUGGUCGAGUCGGCCUGCGCGGAAGAUGUAACGGGGCUAAACCAUGCACCGAAGCUGCGGCAGCGAACGUAUCACUUAAAGCGAUUCAGCGGGUUACGAUUGACGGAGCGAAGCGACGUCAAAGCGUAUACAAAGUCGAGUCGGUUUAAGGAUACGUUCGUUGGGUAGGGGAGCGUUCUGUAAGCCUGCGAAGGUGGCCUGUGAGGGUUGCUGGAGGUAUCAGAAGUGCGAAUGCUGACAUAAGUAACGAUAAAGCGGGUGAAAAGCCCGCUCGCCGGAAGACCAAGGGUUCCUGUCCAACGUUAAUCGGGGCAGGGUGAGUCGACCCCUAAGGCGAGGCCGAAAGGCGUAGUCGAUGGGAAACGGGUUAAUAUUCCCGUACUUGGUGUUACUGCGAAGGGGGGACGGAGAAGGCUAUGUUGGCCGGGCGACGGUUGUCCCGGUUUAAGCGUGUAGGCUGGUUUUCCAGGCAAAUCCGGAAAAUCAAGGCUGAGGCGUGACGACGAGGCACUACGGUGCUGAAGCAACAAAUGCCCUGCUUCCAGGAAAAGCCUCUAAGCAUCAGGUAACACGAAAUCGUACCCCAAACCGACACAGGUGGUCAGGUAGAGAAUACCAAGGCGCUUGAGAGAACUCGGGUGAAGGAACUAGGCAAAAUGGUGCCGUAACUUCGGGAGAAGGCACGCUGACACGUAGGUGAAGUGAUUUACUCAUGGAGCUGAAGUCAGUCGAAGAUACCAGCUGGCUGCAACUGUUUAUUAAAAACACAGCACUGUGCAAACACGAAAGUGGACGUAUACGGUGUGACGCCUGCCCGGUGCCGGAAGGUUAAUUGAUGGGGUCAGCGCAAGCGAAGCUCCUGAUCGAAGCCCCGGUAAACGGCGGCCGUAACUAUAACGGUCCUAAGGUAGCGAAAUUCCUUGUCGGGUAAGUUCCGACCUGCACGAAUGGCGUAAUGAUGGCCAGGCUGUCUCCACCCGAGACUCAGUGAAAUUGAACUCGCUGUGAAGAUGCAGUGUACCCGCGGCAAGACGGAAAGACCCCGUGAACCUUUACUAUAGCUUGACACUGAACAUUGAGCCUUGAUGUGUAG